GCGGCAGGCCUAACACAUGCAAGUCGAACGGUAACAGGAAGAAGCUUGCUUCUUUGCUGACGAGUGGCGGACGGGUGAGUAAUGUCUGGGAAACUGCCUGAUGGAGGGGGAUAACUACUGGAAACGGUAGCUAAUACCGCAUAACGUCGCAAGACCAAAGAGGGGGACCUUCGGGCCUCUUGCCAUCGGAUGUGCCCAGAUGGGAUUAGCUAGUAGGUGGGGUAACGGCUCACCUAGGCGACGAUCCCUAGCUGGUCUGAGAGGAUGACCAGCCACACUGGAACUGAGACACGGUCCAGACUCCUACGGGAGGCAGCAGUGGGGAAUAUUGCACAAUGGGCGCAAGCCUGAUGCAGCCAUGCCGCGUGUAUGAAGAAGGCCUUCGGGUUGUAAAGUACUUUCAGCGGGGAGGAAGGGAGUAAAGUUAAUACCUUUGCUCAUUGACGUUACCCGCAGAAGAAGCACCGGCUAACUCCGUGCCAGCAGCCGCGGUAAUACGGAGGGUGCAAGCGUUAAUCGGAAUUACUGGGCGUAAAGCGCACGCAGGCGGUUUGUUAAGUCAGAUGUGAAAUCCCCGGGCUCAACCUGGGAACUGCAUCUGAUACUGGCAAGCUUGAGUCUCGUAGAGGGGGGUAGAAUUCCAGGUGUAGCGGUGAAAUGCGUAGAGAUCUGGAGGAAUACCGGUGGCGAAGGCGGCCCCCUGGACGAAGACUGACGCUCAGGUGCGAAAGCGUGGGGGAGCAAACAGG
rnacentral:rRNA from 1 species